rfam:Myotis davidii contig215365, whole genome shotgun sequence.
CUGUCUCUUGCUUCAACAGUGUUUGGACGGGAAAG